rnacentral:rRNA from 1 species
UGAAAAACCUUGUCGCCGUAAGCCCAAGGUUUCCUGAGCAAGGGUAAUCCUCUCAGGGUUAGUCGGUCCCUAAGGCAAGGCCGAAAGGCGUAGUUGAUGGGAAACAGAUUAAUAUUUCUGUACCACCAGAUGAGCGUUUGAGCGAAGGGGGGACGGAGAAGGGUAGGCCAUCCGGGUGACGGAAUACCCGGUUCAAGCAGGUAGGAGGGGUUCAUAGGCAAAUCCGUGGACCCAUAACUCCGAGAUGUGAUGAGGAGUCCCUUUGGGACAUAAACUGGCUGAUCCCACGCUUCCUAGAAAAGCCUCGUAGCGAGUUUAUCUGGUGACCGUACCGCAAACCGACACAGGUGGGCGAGGAGAGAAUCCUAAGGCGCUUGAGACAACCCUGGUUAAGGAACUUAGCAAAAUUGCACCGUAACUUCGGGAGAAGGUGCAUUCUGGAUUGUGUAGGGACUUGCUCCUGAAGCAGUCUGGAAUCGCAGCAAAGAGGGGGUGGCGACUGUUUACUAAAAACACAGGACUCUGCAAACUCGUAAGAGAAAGUAUAGGGUCUGACGCCUGCCCGGUGCUGGAAGGUUAAGGGGAGAUGUCAUUCUAAGAAAUUGGGAGAAGCGUUGAACCGAAGCCCCAGUAAACGGCGGCCGUAACUAUAACGGUCCUAAGGUAGCGAAAUUCCUUGUCGGGUAAGUUCCGACCUGCAUGAAUGGCGUAACGAUUGCCCCGCUGUCUCAACCAGGGACUCAGUGAAAUUGUACAAAGGGUGAAGAUACCCUUAACCCGCGGCAAGACGGAAAGACCCCGUGAACCUUUACUAUAGCUUGACAGUGAACUUCGGGAUACUAUGUGUAGGAUAGGUGGGAGGCGUUGAAGCGGUGCCGCUAGGUGCCGUGGAGCCAACCUUGAAAUACCACCCUUAUUGUUUUGAGGUUCUAACUCAGACCCGUAAUCCGGGUCGAGGACACUGUCUGGUGGGUAGUUUGACUGGGGCGGUCGCCUCCAAAAAUGUAACGGAGGCGCACGAAGGUCGGCUCAGGCUGAUUGGAAACCAGCCGAUGAGUGCAAAGGCAUAAGCCGGCUUGACUGUGAGACCUACAAGUCGAGCAGGAACGAAAGUUGGUCUUAGUGAUCCGGUGGCUCCGAGUGGAAGGGCCAUCGCUCAACGGAUAAAAGGUACUCCGGGGAUAACAGGCUUAUCUCCCCCAAGAGUUCACAUCGACGGGGAGGUUUGGCACCUCGAUGUCGGCUCAUCGCAUCCUGGGGCUGAAGUAGGUCCCAAGGGUUUGGCUGUUCGCCAAUUAAAGCGGUACGUGAGCUGGGUUUAGAACGUCGUGAGACAGUUCGGUCCCUAUCUGCCGUGGGCGCAGGAAAAUUGAGAGGAGCUGUCCCUAGUACGAGAGGACCGGGAUGGACGGACCUCUAGUGUACCAGUUGUCACGCCAGUGGCACGGCUGGGUAGCUAAGUUCGGAAAGGAUAACCACUGAAAGCAUCUAAGUGGGAAGCCUGCCUCAAGAUUAGUUUUCCCGCCUGGUAGCAAUACUGGGCUAAGACCCCGGGUAGACCACCCGGUUGAUAGGCUGAUGGUGUACGCACAGCAAUGUGUUGAGCCUACCAGUACUAAUAGGUCGAGAGGCUUGAUCAU